AGAGAGGAUGCACACUCUGAAGAGGGCAGGCAGCUUCUGCACCGAGGGAGCAAAGGGGCGUGUCAGGGGCAGCUGCUGGAAGGAGGCGCAAGCACCACGGAGAGUCUGGGAUGCCCAGCCAAGGAGCCCUGGAAGGGUUGCCCUGGGGACUGACACUGUGGGCUCUGUGUUUUAGCCAAGUCACCCAGGCAGCUGAACAGAAGAUGGACUGGAGGGAGAAGCCUGGAUGAUCGCUCAGCAACAAAGGAGCCAGAAAAGGCAAGGUGUACACACCGUGUGCAGCAUGGGCGAGCUGCAGGCAUGCAGGUAAGAGUGUGUGCAUGCAGGUGUGUGCACACGAGUUUGCAUGUGCUGAUGCAGAUGGCUAUGAUGCGUGGUGGUGAUAUAUACAUGUGGAUGCUUAUGGAUCUGUGCCAACCAUUAUUAAGCACAUAUGUAUACCCGUGUGUGUAUAUGCAUGCAUGUGUUUGUGUGAGUUGCAAUGUGUAUACAACUUUACACAAUAAGUGAAUUGAGUACAUGUACCUGUUUAUCCACGGAAGUGUAUGAUGACUGGACAUAUGUAAAUAUGUGUAUUUGCAUGUGUUUAUACUUUGUGCAUAGAUGCAUGUUUGUGUAUUUAUGCUGAUCCAUUUAAGCGUAUGGGAUGUGUGUGGAUGUUUGUGUAACAUCUGUACAUACUCCAUAGGUGCAUCUUAAUACAGGAAUAUGGGUGCGAUGUGUAUGUGUGUGUGUGUGCCUGUGUGAACAGGUGCGGCUGGAGGUCUAUGAGUGUGUGGAUAGGUAUAUUUGCCUGUGCGCAUGUGCGAUUCACGUGGUGUGAGUGCACAUGGUCGCAGGCAAAUGUCUGUGUGGGCACACACAUGCCCUGUUGCCCUUUUCUGUCUUUUCCUGUUGGGAAAUUACAGAACUUCUGAGUCCUAACCAUGGCUGGUGGCUCUUCCAGGAACAUGGUUUCCUGGACCCAAAAGGUAAGCUUGUCAGGGACCCACGUGAAUGAGGAAGUGGGUGGGCCUGAGUCUGGGGCUCCUCUGAGAACUGCUGUGGACCAGGGAAAUCUUGCUGCCACCUCUGGUCUUUAGUCCACCUCUCAGUAGUAGCUUUCAAAGCUUGAUUUUUUUGGAGGCGUCUCCACGGAGCAUAGUCCUAAGCUCCUAGCCUACAUUGUCCCUGUUCCUGGGCCUGUUUGGUUGACAUUCUCUUACAGUUUAAAAAAGACAUCCACAUCCGUACUCUUAGCUAAUCCUUGUGACCUUUCUUCUAGUCUGUUUGGAGAGGCUGGGAGCAGAGUGGUUAAAAGAGCCAGGCCUGGUUCCAUUUCUGACCCCUCUUCUAGCUGAGCAACUUCCGCCUCUUCCAGCCUCCCUCACGGGAAUCACAGAUCACGUGAGAUGACACCCAUGAAGGGCUUGACUGGCAUCUGGCACAUGGUGAGGACUGCAAAAAUGUGGGCUAUUGUUUUUACUAUUAUCCCCAUUUUAUAGAUGAGGAAACUGAGGCUUGGAGAGGCUCUCUGCCUUUGUCAACCUGGAGAUGCUGGGAAGGAAGUGAGGCCCAUCCCACCUCAGAUGCCUGUCCUCUGUCGUCAGGAGCAUUCUCUUGUUCUUCCGGGCUUGGCCAAGCGGUGGUAAACCCCACAUGUGGUUCUGUGGUUGCCCACACAGUCCUAAAAAUAGCCAACAGGAACCCAGGGGCUCCCCCUUGGUGAGUGGCAGCAGGCCCAGUCCUCAGGCAGCCACCAACCUGCUCACUCCCCACAGGCAAGCAGGUCCUGUCUAGGAAGGGGCUGGGUGGCCUGGGUCCCAUGCAUGAUGAGCCAGAGGCUGUGCCAAGCUUAUAGCAAAUAUUAUUUUAUUUCAUUAUGUUUUCUUACAUCUGUGAUGUGGAGGCCAUAGCUCCACUGGACUCAUGAGGAGACUGAGGCUCAGAGCAAUGAAGUGACCUGCUCAAAGUUAAGGAGCUUCAGUUUGGACCCAAUUUGUUCUGAUCCUAAGGUCACUAUCCUUAAUCCCUCUCCCUGUGGGGUCUUCCCUAUCUUGAGCCUGUGGACAGCUGUGCAGUGGCAAGAAAAAGGCCUUCAGAGCUACGCAGACCUGGCUUCAAAUCCCAGCCUCCCUGAUGAGCCCUGGUGGUCUUGCAUGCUUGCCCUUGGGACUCAGACACCAUAUUGUGAGGAAGCCCAAGCUACAUGCAGAGGCCACUAUAGUUGUUCUGGCCAACAGCCCAAGCUUCAGCUGCCAGACAUAUAAAUAAACCAACUCUUCAAAUGA
rnacentral:lncRNA from 1 species